rnacentral:tRNA from 1 species
GGAGAGAUGGCAGAGUGGUUGAAUGCGGCGGUCUCGAAAACCGCUUCGGGGUUACUCCUCGACGUGGGUUCAAAUCCCACUCUCUCCG